AGUCUUAUAGUUUAAACAAAAAAACAUUAAUUUUGUAAAUUAAAUUUAAAUUUUCAUUUUAAGACUU
rnacentral:tRNA from 1 species